rnacentral:misc_RNA from 1 species
UUUUUUCAAGAAAUGUAAUGAAAUGAUUGUGUACUUUCAUUCGAAUAUAAUGUAAUGAAUUAUUUAUUAUUUAAUUCAAUUAUUUCUUAAAAAUUUGUUAUUACUAUUCAUAAAUGUAAUAAAUAUAAACAAAUAUUUAUAAAUCUUAUAUGUAUAUUAAAAAAUUGUUUAUCUUGUGGAAAGAAACAAUAUGUCCACUAUUCUUCUAAGCAUUCAAUAUUUUCAAUUUAUUAAAUAUUAUAAUAUAAAUGUAAGAUAAUGUAAUUUCAUUUAUCGCUUUUUGACAAUGUAUUUUGUUGCAAAACUUGUUUUCGGAUUUUAUUUGUGAAUCAUGACAGAGUCGGAACUUUGCCGGCUCUGUGCCGAAACCAAAGAGAAUUUUAUUGGAAUUUAUGAAGCAGAAGGACAAAAAUUAGCCAUAGAAGCAAAAAUUGCUAAAUGUUUACAAAUUCAGGUACUAACAAAUGAUGGAUUACCACUUACAGUUUGUAUAGAUUGUUGUAUUUUAUUGAAUCAAUGUAAUGAAUUUUUUGAAAAAACUAAUCAAGCACAAAUAUCUUUAAGACAAUUACUUCUUGAUCCUAAAGUUGAACCACAAUCCUUAGAAUCAAAUAUAAACUAUAUUGAUAAAACAAUUACAUUUCCAAAGGAAGAAGUUAAUGAAGGAAUUGUUGAAUGUCAUUUAUCAAAUUAUAUUCAUGACACAUCUAAUGUUUCACAUAAUUAUUUUAUCGAAGAAAAUAAAAGUGAUAAUCAAAAACAUGAAACUGAAGAACCUCAAGAUAUUAUAAAACAAAAAAAAUGUAAAAUUCAAUUAAAAAAGACUUCAGUUAAACAAACUAGAAAAAAAUUAAAACGAAAAAAUCAGAAAAUGGAAGAUUCUGAUGUAUAUAUGAAUACUGAUUUAAAAAAAGAAAAUAAGAAUAUAGAUAUAAAAAGUAAUAUUAAAAUUCCAGAUAAUUAUAUGACAGGCACAGAUACAGAUUUAGAAAUCAUAGAAGCACAUGCUGUAGAAAUUUUAAAAUUUGGACGCAAAAGAGAAGAAUCUUUAAAUAGAUAUCCAUGGCUUUGCACUGAUUGUAAUGAUAAAUUACCCAGUUUAGAAAAAUUGAAAGAACAUCAUGAAACUAUUCACAAUCAACAAGCAAAAUAUAUGUGUGUAUUAUGUUGUAAAGUUUAUGACAAAUAUUAUGGUUUUCUUACUCAUGUCAAACGACAUAAAAACAAAACAAAAUUCAGUUGUGAAGAUUGUGGAAAAUCAUUUGUACAUAAGAAAGUAUUAGAUUCUCACAAGGCAAUUCACAGUCAGGAGAGGCCUCAUAUUUGUCAAACUUGUGGAAAAGCAUUUAGGCAACAAAGUGCUUUAUAUAUUCAUAGUAGAUGUCAUUUACCAGAUACUAUGAAAAAUAGAUUUCCUUGUGAUCAGUGUGAUAAAAGAUUUUCAACAAAGCCAAAUUUAGUCACACAUAAACGCAUCCAUUCUGGUGUUAGAAAUUUUACAUGUGAUCAAUGUGGUAAAAGUUUUAUUCAAAAAGGAAAUUUAGAAGCUCAUUUCUUAACUCAUUCAGCAGACAAACCAUAUAAUUGUACCCAAUGUUCAAAAGCUUUUAAAACGCCAUUGCAAUUAAAAAAACAUGAAACAGUUCAUACAGGAGCAAAACCACAUCAGUGUGCUGUAUGUGGAAGAACUUUUAGAGAAAAAGGUACAUUAAGAGAGCACCAUAGAAUACAUACUGGUGCAAUGCCAUUUACAUGUGAAUUUUGUGGUAAAUGUUUUCGCUUUAAAGGAAUAUUAACUACACAUAGAAGACAACAUACUGGUGAACGUCCAUAUAGUUGCUUAGAAUGUCAACACCAUUUCACAAAUUGGCCAAACUAUAAUAAACAUAUGAAACGUAGGCAUGGAAUUAAUACAUCACAUACAAAACAUUUGUCACAAUCUCAGCAAAUACAAUCACAGCAGCAACUACAAGAACAGCCACAACCAGAACAAUCACAAAUAGAUCAAUCAAAUGCAGAGCAGUCAUUGUCUAUAUCUAAUACGGAAUCAUCAACUGUACAUCAAUCUAGCUGAUGUUAAAACAAGUUCAAUGACCUUGUAUACUAUGAUCUUGAGAUAACCUUGGAUUCAGAAAUAUGAAAUCUAAAAACGGAGACGUUAAUGUUAAAAACAACGUAAUACAAGGUGAUACAAACUGUUUCACAUACUGCAAGUCAACCACUUAUUGUACAAACUAUUCCAUCUAGCACUGUUCAAAAUUUUCAACCUGACGUAUCCAGCACAGUACAAGAUACAGUCUUUCGAGAAAGGAAUGCAACAUAUUUUAAUACAGUGCCAGCAACUUUGCAAAAUUUCUUACCACCUAAUUUAUCAUAUAACUUUUAUAAUAUUUCUAAUGUUACAUAUAAAGAAUGAUUUAAUAUAACAUAAUAUAAUCAUGUUACUCAAAUCAAUUUAAAGAAAUACAUGUAUAAGUUUGUUUAAUCAAUAAGUAAUAGAUAUUUCUUUCU